rnacentral:rRNA from 1 species
GGACUACAGGGGUAUCUAAUCCCGUUCGCUCCCCUAGCUUUCGCACUUGAGCGUCAGAGACGAGCCAGGAUGCUGCCUUCGCCUUUGGUGUUCUUCCAGAUCUCUACGCAUUUCACCGCUCCACCUGGAAUUCCGCAUCCCUCUCUCGCCCUCAAGUCAGACCGUAUUCUGCGUCCUGUAUCGGUUAAGCCGACACCUGUCACUCAAAACGCGUCUCACCGCCUGCGUGCGCUUUACGCCCAAUAAAUCCGGACAACGCUUGCCCCCUACGUAUUACCGCGGCUGCUGGCAC